rnacentral:rRNA from 2 species
UGUCUGGUAUCUUUAGUACAGCACAAAGCACACUCAUCCAUUCCGAAUUGAGUCGUUAAAGGUUGUACAGCGAAAAUACUUGUAUGGUAACGUACCGGGAAAAUAGCUGAUGCCAGGCA